GAUGAACGCUGGCGGCAUGCCUUACACAUGCAAGUCGAACGGCAGCACGGAGCUUGCUCUGGUGGCGAGUGGCGAACGGGUGAGUAAUAUAUCGGAACGUACCCAAGAGUGGGGGAUAACGUAGCGAAAGUUACGCUAAUACCGCAUACGAUCUAAGGAUGAAAGCAGGGGAUCGCAAGACCUUGUGCUCCUGGAGCGGCCGAUAUCUGAUUAGCUAGUUGGUGAGGUAAAGGCUCACCAAGGCAACGAUCAGUAGCUGGUCUGAGAGGACGACCAGCCACACUGGAACUGAGACACGGUCCAGACUCCUACGGGAGGCAGCAGUGGGGAAUUUUGGACAAUGGGGGCAACCCUGAUCCAGCAAUGCCGCGUGAGUGAAGAAGGCCUUCGGGUUGUAAAGCUCUUUUGUCAGGGAAGAAAAGGUCGUGGCUAAUAUCCACGACUGCUGACGGUACCUGAAGAAUAAGCACCGGCUAACUACGUGCCAGCCGCCGCCGUAA
rnacentral:rRNA from 1 species